rnacentral:rRNA from 1 species
UACAGAGGUGGCAAGCGUUGUUCGGAAUUACUGGGCGUAAAGGGCGCGUAGGCGGCCCGAUAAGUCCCGCGUGAAAGCCCCCGGCUCAACUGGGGAACUGCGCGGGAAACUAUCGGGCUUGAGUUCGGGAGAGGGAAGCGGAAUUCCGGGUGUAGCGGUGAAAUGCGUAGAUAUCCGGAGGAACACCGGUGGCGAAGGCGGCUUCCUGGACCGACACUGACGCUGGAGGCGCGAAAGCUAGGGGAGCAAACGGG